rnacentral:misc_RNA from 1 species
UACGGAAGGUGCAAGCGUUGUUCGGAAUGACUGGGCGUAAAGCGCACGUAGGCGGUUUCGUAAGUCGGAUGUGAAAGCCCCGGGCUCAACCUGGGAAUAGCACCCGAAACUGUGAAACUUGAAUGCUUGAGAGGUUGGUGGAAUUCCAGGUGUAGGAGUGAAAUCCGUAGAUAUCUGGAGGAACAUCGGAGGCGAAGGCGGCCAACUGGCGAUGCAUUGACGCUGAGGUGCGAAAGCGUGGGGAGCAAACAGG